rnacentral:rRNA from 1 species
UACAGAGGUCUCAAGCGUUGUUCGGAUUCAUUGGGCGUAAAGGGUGCGUAGGCGGCGGCGUAAGUCGGGUGUGAAAUCCCAGGGCUCAACCCUGGAACUGCAUUCGAUACUGCGUCGCUGGAGGACUGGAGAGGAGACUGGAAUUCACGGUGUAGCAGUGAAAUGCGUAGAUAUCGUGAGGAAGGCCAGUGGCGAAGGCGAGUCUCUGGACAGUUCCUGACACUGAGGCACGAAGGUCAGGGGAGCAAACGGG